rnacentral:rRNA from 1 species
CUCGUACGAGAAGGUUCUUUCGGGAACUGGUAUUUUGGCGCACGGGUGAGUCACGCGUGGGGACCUACCUCUUAGUGGGGGAUAACGGUUGGAAACGACCGCUAAUACCGCAUACGCCCUUCGGGGGAAAGAUUUAUCGCUAAGAGAUGGACCCGCGUUGGAUUAGAUAGUUGGUGAGGUAACGGCUCACCAAGUCAGCGAUCCAUAGCUGGUUUGAGAGGAUGAUCAGCCACACUGGGACUGAGACACGGCCCAGACUCCUACGGGAGGCAGCAGUGGGGAAUAUUGGACAAUGGGCGGAAGCCUGAUCCAGCCAUGCCGCGUGAGUGAAGAAGGCCUUCGGGUUGUAAAGCUCUUUCAGAUGCGAAGAUGAUGACGGUAACAUCAGAAGAAGCCCCGGCUAAUUUCGUGCCAGCAGCCGCGGUAAUACGAAAGGGGCAAGCGUUGUUCGGAUUUACUGGGCGUAAAGGGCACGCAGGCGGUCUUGCCAGUCAGGGGUGAAAGCCCGGGGCUCAACCCCGGAACUGCCUCUGAUACUGCAGGACUAGAGACUAGGAGAGGGUGGUGGAAUUCCCAGUGUAGAGGUGAAAUUCGUAGAUAUUGGGAGGAAC